rnacentral:rRNA from 1 species
GUUGGAGAGCUUGCUCUUCACUUUAGCGGCGGACGGGUGAGUAACACAUGGGCAACCUGCCCUGCGGAUCAGGAUAACUCCGGGAAACCGGUGCUAAUACCGAAUACUUUUCGCCACCUCCUGGUGGCCUACGGAAAGACGGUUUCCGCUGUCACUGCAGGAUGGGCCCGCGGCUCAUUAGCUAAUUGGUGGGGUAACGGCCCACCCAGGCCAGGAUGCAUAGGCUAACUGAUAGGGUGAUCGGCCACACUGGGACUGAAACCCUGCCCAAAGUCCUACUGGAGGCAACAGUACGAAAUCUUCCACAAUGGACCAAAGUCUGACGGAGCAACGCCGCGUGAGUGACAAAGGUUUUCAGAUCGUAAAAC